rnacentral:rRNA from 1 species
UAGGGAAUCUUCCACAAUGGACGCAAGUCUGAUGGAGCAACGCCGCGUGAGUGAAGAAGGUUUUCGGAUCGUAAAGCUCUGUUGUUGGUGAAGAAGGAUAGAGGCAGUAACUGGUCUUUAUUUGACGGUAAUCAACCAGAAAGUCACGGCUAACUACGUGCCAGCAGCCGCGGUAAUACGUAGGUGGCAAGCGUUGUCCGGAUUUAUUGGGCGUAAAGCGAGCGCAGGCGGAAUGAUAAGUCUGAUGUGAAAGCCCACGGCUCAACCGUGGAACUGCAUCGGAAACUGUCAUUCUUGAGUGCAGAAGAGGAGAGUGGAACUCCAUGUGUAGCGGUGGAAUGCGUAGAUAUAUGGAAGAACACCAGUGGCGAAGGCGGCUCUCUGGUCUGCAACUGACGCUGAGGCUCGAAAGCAUGGGUAGCGAACAGGAUUAGAUACCCUGGUAGUCCAUGCCGUAAACGAUGAGC